CCUACGGGAGGCUGCAGUGAGGAAUAUUGGGCAAUGGAGGCAACUCUGACCCAGCCAUGCCGCGUGAGUGAAGAAGGUUUUAGGAUUGUAAAGCUCUUUCGGAUGUGACGAUGAUGACGGUAGCAUCUAAAGAAGCCCCGGCUAACUUCGGGACAGCAGCCGCGGUAAUACGAAGGGGGCAAGCGUUGAUCGGAAUUACUGGGGGGAAAGGGAGGGUAGGCGGGUUAGUAAGAUAGUGGUGAAAUCCCAGGGCUUAACGUUGGAAUUGCCAUUAUAAAGAUUAGACUAGAAUUACAGAGAGGAGAGUGGAAUACCCAGUGUAGAGGUGAAAUUCGUAGAUAUUGGGUAGAACACCAGUGGCGAAGGCGACUAUCUGGCUGUACAUUGACGCUGAGGCUCGAAAGCAUGGGGAUCAAACAGGAUUAGAUACCCGGGUAGUC
rnacentral:rRNA from 1 species